rnacentral:misc_RNA from 1 species
AUGCCAGCAGCAGGUGGAGGUGUAGCUGCCGUGCUCGAGUGUCCGUACGCAGUGAGGCCUGAUAUUGUGCUCGGGGAACUUCUACCUGCCAGGAUGCCCAACAUUAAAAUCUUCUCGGGGUCCUCACACCCAGACCUGGCCCAGAGAGUGGUGGACCGCCUCGGUAUUGAUUUAGGCAAGGUGGUGACCAAGAAGUUUUCAAAUUUGGAAACAUGUGUGGAGAUUGGGGAGAGUGUGCGAGGGGAAGAUGUUUAUAUUGUACAAAGUGGAUGUGGAGAGAUCAAUGACAACCUGAUGGAGAUGCUGAUUAUGAUCAAUGCCUGCAAGAUUGCUUCUGCUGCACGGGUUACUGCCGUCAUUCCUUGUUUUCCAUAUGCCAGACAGGAUAAGAAGGACAAGUCCCGUGCCCCAAUCUCGGCCAAGUUGGUUGCCAACAUGUUGUCUGUUGCUGGGGCUGACCAUAUCAUCACCAUGGACUUGCAUGCCUCCCAGAUCCAGGGUUUCUUUGACAUUCCUGUGGAUAACCUCUAUGCUGAACCUGCCGUUCUCAAGUGGAUCCGUGAAAAUAUUCCAGAGUGGAGAAAUGCCAUCAUUGUGUCACCUGAUGCUGGCGGAGCUAAACGAGUGACAUCCAUAGCUGAUCGCCUUAAUAUAGAAUUUGCGCUGAUUCACAAAGAAAGAAAAAAAGCCAAUGAAGUUGCAUCAAUGGUUCUGGUUGGAGAUGUGAAGGACCGCAUUGCAAUCCUGGUGGACGACAUGGCUGACACUUGCGGCACCAUCUGCCACGCUGCUGAAAAACUUAUGGAGGCUGGCGCCACAAAAACAUAUGCCAUCUUAACUCACGGGAUUUUUUCUGGACCUGCUGUCUCCCGGAUCAACAAUGCCUGCUUUGAAGCUGUGGUUGUCACCAACACUAUACCUCAGGAACAACAUAUGAAGGACUCUAGUAAAAUUCAGUUGAUUGACGUCUCCAACAUUUUGGCUGAGGCAAUUCGUCGAACCCACAAUGGUGAAUCGGUUUCUUUCCUAUUCAACUCGGUACCUCUCUAGAUCGUGAUGGCUGUGAAUGUUGGCCCAGUUCAUAUGAUGAGGCAAGUAGGUGCAUUGAUGUCUCGGCAACAUUUGCUGAAGCCCUGAGGAGGACUCACAAUGGGGAAAGCAUCUCCUACCUUUCAUGGAACGUGCCAUACCACUGACCACCUCAUGCCUUCAAAAGAAAGUUUUAUAUCAGCACC